CGGACGGGUGAGUAACACGUGGAUAACCUACCUAUAAGACUGGGAUAACUUCGGGAAACCGGAGCUAAUACCGGAUAAUAUAUUGAACCGCAUGGUUCAAUAGUGAAAGACGGUUUUGCUGUCACUUAUAGAUGGAUCCGCGCCGCAUUAGCUAGUUGGUAAGGUAACGGCUUACCAAGGCAACGAUGCGUAGCCGACCUGAGAGUGUGAUCGGCCACACUGGAACUGAGACACGGUCCAGACUCCUACGGGAGGCAGCAGCC
rnacentral:rRNA from 1 species